rnacentral:rRNA from 1 species
GACGAACGCUGGCGGCGUGCUUAACACAUGCAAGUCGAACGAAGUGGCGAACGGGUGAGUAACGCGUAAUCAACCUGCCCUUCAGAGGGUGACAACAGUUGGAAACGACUGCUAAUACCGAAUACUGAAGGAGGGGAUUGAGUUGGAUUCGCUCGUUGGAGGGGUAACGGCCCACCAAGGCGAUGAUCAGAAGGCGGUCUGAGGAGGAGAACGGGCAGAUUGGGACUGGGAAACGGCCCAGACUCCUACGGGAGGCAGCAGGGGGGAAUCUUCCGAAAUGGACGAAAGGCUGACGGAGCAACGCCGCGGGGGUGAUGACGGCCUUCGGGUUGUAAAGCUCUGUUAAUCGGGACGCGGUACCGGAAUAGAAAGCCACGGCUAACUACGUGCCAGCAGCCGCGGUAAUUC